rnacentral:rRNA from 1 species
UACAGAGGUCUCAAGCGUUGUCCGGAAUCAUUGGGCGUAAAGCGCGCGUAGGCGGCCAGAUAAGUCCGGUGUGAAAGUCACAGGCUCAACCUGUGAAUGCCGCUGGAAACUGUCUGGCUUGAGUCCGGAAGGGGCGAGUGGAAUUCCCUGGUGUAGCGGUGAAAUGCGCAGAUAUCAGGAGGAACACCAAUGGCGAAGGCAGCUCGCUGGAACGGUACUGACGCUGAGGCGCGAAAGCGUGGGGAGCGAACAGGAUUGAGAU